UACGAAGGGGGCUAGCGUUGUUCGGAAUUACUGGGCGUAAAGCGCACGUAGGCGGACUAUUAAGUCAGGGGUGAAAUCCCGGGGCUCAACCCCGGAACUGCCUUUGAUACUGGUAGUCUCGAGUCCGGAAGAGGUGAGUGGAAUUCCGAGUGUAGAGGUGAAAUGCGCAGAUAUCGGGAAGAACACCCGUGGCGAAGGCGGCUCUCUGGGACGGUACUGACGCUGAGACGCGAAAGCGUGGGAGCGAACAGG
rnacentral:rRNA from 1 species